rnacentral:lncRNA from 1 species
ACUCCACAGUAAGACGGACCAGGAACAGCAGCAGCCUCCGGUGUCGGCCCAGUGAUCCGGGAGCUCAGAGUGUAGGUACCUGACGGCUUGACUCGUCCCCAGGACAAGGCCUGUGAGUGGGAGAGGGGCACUCUGAGUGUGCGAAUCUGUGAGAGUGUGUGUGUGUCUGGGCACGAGUGUGUAUGCGUGUGUGUGCAUGUAUAUUCACAUGUGUGAGGGUGUGAAUGUGUGUGUCUGUGGGUCUGGGCACAUGAGUGUGUGUGUGCAUAUACUACAUUCACGUGUGAGUGUGCAAAUGCGAGUGUGUCUGUAGGUCUGGGCACGUGUAUGCGUGUGUGUGCGAGUACUAUAUUCGCAUGUGUGAGUGUGCGAAUGUGUGUGUCUGUGGGUCUGGGCACACGAGUGUGUAUGCGUGUGUGUGCAUGUACUAUAUUCACGUGUGUGAGUGUGCGAAUGUGUCUGUGGGUCUGGGCACAUGAGUGUGUGCAUAUACUAUAUUCACGUGUGUGAGUGUGCAAAUGUGUGUCUGUAGGUCUGGGCACAUGUGUAUGCGUGUGUGUGCGAGUACUAUAUUCACGUGUGUGUGAGUGCGAAUGUGAGUGGGUGUGGGUCUGGUCACAUGUAUGUAUGCAUGUGUGCAUGUAUUAUAGUCAUGUGAGUGUGCAAAUGUGUGUGUGGGUCUGGGCACACAAGUGUGUAUGCAUGUGUUUCUAUUGUAUUCAUGUGAGUAUAAGUGCAAAUGUGUGAGUGUGUGUUCUCUGCACACACAAGUGUAUAGGUAUGUGUUUGUGUGUGCAUGCACUGUAUUCAUGUGAGUGUAUGUGAAUGUGUGACUGUGAGAGUUUGAGUGUGCCUGGGUGUCUGGCUAUACUAGUGCAUGUCUGUGUUCGUGUGCAUCAGUCUGGGUGUGCCCGUGUGUGAAUGUGUCUAUGCGUGGGUGUCCCAAUAUGUGUGUGCCUGUGUAUCCAUGUCUGGGUGUGCCUGUGAGUGUGAGUGUGCGCAUGGGUGUCUGGAUAUGUGAGUGCUUGUGACUACCUGUGUGUGUAUCCAUGUCUAGGUGUGAGUGUGAAUAUGUAAGUCUUGCGUGUGCAUGAGUGUGUUCACAUGAGUGUGAGGGUCUGUGCAUAAGAGCCUAUUGUGAGUGCAUGUGGAUUGCAUUUAUGUGAGUCCGUGUCUGUGUGCACGCACGUGUCCCCGCACAAGCCAGCCCGAGAGGGAGUGUCCCCUGAACACACCCUGGCAGCACUUGCAGCGUGAUGAGGUUGAGGGAAUGUGUCGCUGAGGUCGUAAAUGCCUCUCGCACGUCCCAACACGCUGGAGCAACAGCAGCCCGUGAUGCCGGCCGCGCAGCCGUGAAGUCCGUGGAGCGUCCCUAAUCACUGGGGGUUCUGCUUUGCGGUGACAGCGGUGCUACUCACAGCUCCAGAACUCUGCAGCUUCCCCCCUGAAACGGGAACGGGAAGGUGGCGCGGGCGUCCACACCUCGAGCCACAGCCGGCGGGAGGCACAGGCUGGCAAAACUGCCUCUCAGUAGUGAGAAGAGACAAACAAACCGAACGCCAGGAGCAGAGGAAACGAAGACGAUGUGGCCAAGAAAAAUUGCAUUUUUCUUUCCAGUUUUGCUAAAAUAGCCUUCUCAUUGGCUGCGGCUUUGGAGGUGGCAGAAAUCAUACGUUUAAUCGGCGCCCUCCU